CACUCCUGCGGGAGGCAGCAGUGGGGAAUAUUGCACAAUGGGCGCAAGCCUGAUGCAGCCAUGCCGCGUGUAUGAAGAAGGCCUUCGGGUUGUAAAGUACUUUCAGCGGGGAGGAAGGCAAUACGGUUAAUAACCGUGUUGAUUGACGUUACCCGCAGAAGAAGCACCGGCUAACUCCGUGCCAGCAGCCGCGGUAAUACGGAGGGUGCAAGCGUUAAUCGGAAUUACUGGGCGUAAAGCGCACGCGGGCGGUCUGUCAAGUCGGAUGUGAAAUCCACGGGCUCAACCUGGGAACUGCAUUCGAAACUGGCAGGCUUGAGUCUUGUAGAGGGGGGUAGAAUUCCAGGUGUAGCGGUGAAAUGCGUAGAGAUCUGGAGGAAUACCGGUGGCGAAGGCGGCCCCCUGGACAAAGACUGACGCUCAGGUGCGAAAGCGUGGGGAGCAAACAGGAUUAGAUACCCCAGUAGUCCCAUGU
rnacentral:rRNA from 1 species